rnacentral:rRNA from 1 species
CCUACGGGUGGCUGCAGUGGGGAAUAUUGGACAAUGGGCGAAAGCCUGAUCCAGCCAUGCCGCGUGUGUGAAGAAGGCCUUCGGGUUGUAAAGCACUUUCAGUGGGGAAGAAAGCCUUGGGGCUAAUACCCUCGAGGAAGGACAUCACCCACAGAAGAAGCACCGGCUAACUCCGUGCCAGCAGCCGCGGUAAUACGGAGGGUGCGAGCGUUAAUCGGAAUUACUGGGCGUAAAGCGCGCGUAGGCGGUCUGAUAAGCCGGUUGUGAAAGCCCCGGGCUCAACCUGGGCACGGCAUCCGGAACUGUCAGGCUAGAGUGCAGGAGAGGAAGGUAGAAUUCCAGGUGUAGCGGUGAAAUGCGUAGAGAUCGGGAGGAAUACCAGUGGCGAAGGCGGCCUUCUGGACUGACACUGACGCUGAGGUGCGAAAGCGUGGGUAGCAAACAGGAUUAGAUACCCUUGUAGUC